AACGCGAAGAACCUUACCAACCCUUGACAUCCUGUGCUACAUCCAGAGAUGGAUGGUUCCCUUCGGGGACGCAGUGACAGGUGCUGCAUGGCUGUUGUCAGCUCGUGUCGUGAGAUGUUCGGUUAAGUCCGGCAACGAGCGCAACCCACAUCCCUAGUUGCCAUCAGGUUAUGCUGGGCACUCUGGAGAAACUGCCCGUGAUAAGCGGGAGGAAGGUGUGGAUGACGUCAAGUCCUCAUGGCCCUUACGGGUUGGGCUACACACGUGCUACAAUGGUAGUGACAAUGGGUUAAUCCCAAAAAGCUAUCUCAGUUCGGAUUGGGGUCUGCAACUCGACCCCAUGAAGUCGGAAUCGCUAGUAAUCGCGUAACAGCAUGACGCGGUGAAUACGUUCCCGGGUCUUGUACACACCG
rnacentral:rRNA from 1 species